AACAAACAUUUCGCUGAAGUUAAUAUAGAUGAGUAGGUAAUGACAGGAAUAGAUGGAUCGGUAUAGCCGUGACCAUUCUGUGUUAUAUAAACCCAGUUUUAGAACAAUUUUGUCAGUAGAUAUCAAUAUUCACCGUUUGCAUUUAUUGAAUGAAAACAAUGGAAUAUAGAGACGGAUUCUAACAUUUUAAUUCUAUAGAAUAUCAUACUCUCAGAUCUUGGACUUGGGUUUGUUCUGAGCCUGUGAGGAAAUGUGCAAAUUGGGCAUUUGCUGAAAGGCAUUCAUAAAAAGUGUAUAUAAAAAUUAUAUAAAUGCACAUUACAGGUUUUAAACUUGAUAAAUCUGAAUUUUGGAUUUGAAUUUACAUGGUAAGUAAGUUUAUUUACUUUUGUGAAAAUCAAUAUCAUGUUACUGUUUAUUGUUAAUAAUAAAAAUUAAAAACCUCG
rnacentral:misc_RNA from 1 species